rnacentral:tRNA from 1 species
GAGGACAUAGCUCAGUGGCAGAGCACGUGCUUAGCAUGCACGGGGUCCUGGGUUCAAUCCCCAGUGCUUCCA